AGAUUGAACGCUGGCGGCAGGCCUAACACAUGCAAGUCGAGCGGUAGAGAGGUGCUUGCACCUCUUGAGAGCGGCGGACGGGUGAGUAAUGCCUAGGAAUCUGCCUAGUGGUGGGGGAUAACGUUCGGAAACGGACGCUAAUACCGCAUACGUCCUACGGGAGAAAGCGGGGGACCUUCGGGCCUCGCGCCAUUAGAUGAGCCUAGGUCGGAUUAGCUAGUUGGUGAGGUAAUGGCUCACCAAGGCGACGAUCCGUAACUGGUCUGAGAGGAUGAUCAGUCACACUGGAACUGAGACACGGUCCAGACUCCGUACGGGAGCAG
rnacentral:rRNA from 1 species